GAGUGCUCCAAGACUUACUGCGGAUGCCAGUGCUUUCAAGUGUUUUGAUGAAGCUUGCACACCACACCAUUUCAACCGUGGUGCGAAAGCUUGGCAAACAAGCGGAGAGGAAACGUAAUAGCAAACUUUCGGUGCGCUGCAUUCAUCAUACUCCUCAGCGGCUUCCUCUUCGGUGAAUCUUUGCUAUCCUAGCCGAAAUAUACGGCAAAGUAUACUUUCGUUACAUGAUCGUCUGUAUCUACGAGAAGGGGCCAGGCUGCCGACAGAAGAACAUAGCGGAAAGGUUUCCUAAAACGUGCCGUAUUCACAAUGCAUUGCAGAGUUUGCACCACUGUAUACAAAAGGACAAAAUCUGCAGCGAAUGCGUGCAGCUGCAAUGCAUAAGACACGCUAUGGCGUCUACUACCUCGAUCUUACUUAUGAUGUCUUACAAUCUAGAAAUUUAUUUCGACAGUGUGUCAGUUGCAUAUGCUUGAUUAAUGCACACUUUGCAGUUGCACGCUUGUGUUUUCCACAUGGCUCUUGAUCAGUCAAAUGUAAUAAAGGCUUAUUUUGCCAUUCGUAA